rnacentral:rRNA from 1 species
CACGUAGGAGGCAAACGUUAUCCGGAUUUACUGGGCGUAAAGCGCGUGUAGGUGGUUCUGUAAGUAGGGCGUGAAAGCUCCCGGCUCAACUGGGAGAGGCCGUUCUAAACUGCAGAGCUAGAGGAUGGUAGAGGGAGGUGGAAUUCCAGGUGUAGCGGUGGAAUGCGCAGAUAUCUGGAGGAACACCAGUGGCGAAGGCGGCCUCCUGGACCAUUCCUGACACUCAGACGCGAAAGCUAGGGCAGCAAGCGGGAUUAGAUACCCCUGUA